UACGAAGGGGGCUAGCGUUGCUCGGAAUCACUGGGCGUAAAGCGCACGUAGGCGGCUCUUUAAGUCAGGGGUGAAAUCCUGGAGCUCAACUCCAGAACUGCCUUUGAUACUGAGGGGCUUGAGUCCGGGAGAGGUGAGUGGAACUGCGAGUGUAGAGGUGAAAUUCGUAGAUAUUCGCAAGAACACCAGUGGCGAAGGCGGCUCACUGGCCCGGUACUGACGCUGAGGUGCGAAAGCGUGGGGAGCGAACAGG
rnacentral:rRNA from 1 species